rnacentral:misc_RNA from 1 species
UUUCCGUAGGUGAACCAGCGGAGGGAUCAUUAAAGAGGUGCAAAACUCUCAAACCAUUGCGAACAUCCCUUCUACGUUGCUUCGGCGGGUUGGCCUCGGUCUCCGGGGUCCCCGGCCCUCACGGGCGCCCGCCGGUUGUACCAAACUCUUGAACUGUUAUGGCCCCUCUUUGUCUUUGUACUUAAUAAGUCAAAACUUUCAACAACGGAUCUCUUGGUUCUG